UUUUGAACCUUCUAGCUUGGUCUCAAGAAGUUACCUAGACCUCAAAGUUGAAAAGCAAAAUGGAAGAAGAACAGGUAUUGUUAAGCUGACCGAGUAAUAGAGUGAAAUCUUCCCUCUAAAGCAACUGAGAAACAUGCUCCACCUGACUGUCAUGUUCUCUGCCUUGUUUGUAAUGCACAGCUGAGUUCACCAACAACAAAGAGAAAUUCCCAAGUGAUGAGAUAAUACUAAGAUAAACAUAAAGGGAUGAAAAGGGACAAAGUCAGCAACACCGAAGAGAAUCAGGAGAGACUAUCGAUG
rnacentral:lncRNA from 1 species